AGUGAACGCUGGCGGUAGGCCUAACACAUGCAAGUCGAACGGCAGCACAGUAAGAGCUUGCUCUUACGGGUGGCGAGUGGCGGACGGGUGAGGAAUACAUCGGAAUCUACUUUUUCGUGGGGGAUAACGUAGGGAAACUUACGCUAAUACCGCAUACGACCUACGGGUGAAAGCAGGGGAUCUUCGGACCUUGCGCGAUUGAAUGAGCCGAUGUCGGAUUAGCUAGUUGGCGGGGUAAAGGCCCACCAAGGCGACGAUCCGUAGCUGGUCUGAGAGGAUGAUCAGCCACACUGGAACUGAGACACGGUCCAGACUCCUACGGGAGGCAGCAGUGGGGAAUAUUGGACAAUGGGCGCAAGCCUGAUCCAGCCAUACCGCGUGGGUGAAGAAGGCCUUCGGGUUGUAAAGCCCUUUUGUUGGGAAAGGAAAGCAGCAGGUUAAUACCUCGCUGUUCUGACGGUACCCAAAGAAUAAGCACCGGCUAACUUCGUG
rnacentral:rRNA from 1 species